UCAUGUGAUGAGUGAGCAGCUGGCUCAUGGGUUGGGACGAGAGAGUUAUAGGGAAUCAGGGAACAUCAGAAUAGUCACCUGUCAUUAGUGGAGUUUUGCAGGGCUCCAUCUUAGGGGCAGGUUCUCUUCAACACCUUCACAAAUGACCCGCAUGCAGACCUGGAAGGAACACUAAGUGCGACAACAGCAAUAAGCUGGGAGGAGCUGUUGACUGCCUCUAAAGAAGAGAGGCCACCUUGACAGAUUAAAGGCCUGGACAAUCACCACCUGUGUGAAGUUCCAUGAGGGAAGGUGCUGGAUUCUGCCGCUGGGAUGGUCCUGGGGCUCCUGGUCAGUGGCCAGCUGGACACGAGCCAGCAGUGUCCUGGAGCCAGGAGGGACAUCCCUGUCCUGGGGCACAGGCCCCGCAUGGCCGGCCGGGCCAGGGAGGGAUUGUCCUGCUCUGCUCUGGGCCGGGGCGGCCUCACCUGCAAUACUGGGUGCAGUUUUGGGCAUGACAAUAUAAAAAUGACGUUAAACUCCCAGAGACCAAAGGAUGCCAUGAGGAUGAUGAGGGGCCUGAAGAUUAGCUGCUGUCUGGAGUCUGCUUUGGAAACUACAGGAGAACCAUCAUCUACCCACAGGUUAUGGGACCUGCAAAUCAUGCAAACAAUGUGUAAACUCAAGUGAUGGUGAUGAGAAUUAAAUGCAUGAGAUACUAUUUUGUCAUUACUUUCACUCCACCCUUCACUGAGGGUGAAGGCUAACAUGAAGGCUGAGGGCAGCCUCCAUGAAGCAAAAUCCUUACUGUUUUUAAAUGUCUAAAUCCCAGAGGCUGUUAAUCUUUUUCAUAAUUUGGUUAUUACUGAGGGACAGCAGUACUGCUGAUGAAAACAAAAUGACUGAUCUGAUGAGCUCCACUUGUGACUCAGGAAAGGAGGAGAUGAUGGGGCAGGGUGAUCUAGAUAUCAGGUGCAAUGCUAUGUGCAAUGCAGUAAAUCAAAUCUCUUCCACUCUUACUCCUACACACAGGGAAACUAAUUGUAUGACUCUACACAGUGCAGAUGCAAACACAAGAUGUUUGGAAGCUGAGCCUUGACUUCGAGCUAACACAACAUUCAACUAGUUCAGUGCAUAAUCACUGUUGGAAAUCCAUGCAUGGAUAUUUUGUUCCAGGGGGGUGCAAUAUAGGCUGGGUUUUAAAAUAUAUCCGAAGAGGUUUAGCUUCUCAGAUUCCACUGAAAGAUGAUGAAAGUUGGGCCCUUCCUUUCCUCUGUUUCUUUUAAAAGGUCCUGUAAAGACAGACCCUUCCAUCAGCAAGCAUGGUGUGUGGUGGUCAUGCUUCUGACAGGUGUCUGUAGUGUUUUUGAACAGUGCAACAAGCUGAGCUGAGGAAAUUGCCAUUAGCUUUUCUGGGAAAGGUAAACUCUCAUCAUCUCUAAAGGUAAGUACAUGUUGACGACUGCUCCCAAAAAAGAAUAAUGGCUUAGGCUCUCAGCUACUAUAAAAUUACAGGGGUGAAUUCAAAGAACCAAGCUCAUUAACACAAACUACAGAGCUGAUGAACCUUUAGUAGCUGGAAAUGCUGGGCUUUGGAUGUUAUGAUUAGACUUCUGAUAGUAAAGAGAGGCAUGAGAGAUCAAGAAAGCAAUUAAUUCUGUCUCAAAACAAACCAUAUCUGACUCACCAGCAUGAGCAGCAGAAAAGAUCUCUAAAAUUUGUCCUUUGAAACCAGAGUGCUAUAACAGAGCUGCUUGACUAAAGAGAAUGAAAAUGCACAAAAUGCACUCCUUCUUGCCUGGCUCUGUUUCCAAACUGCAAUCCCUUUCUUUUCAGCUGAUAUGGAAUAACACCCAAGUCAAAUAAUUUUCAUCUGUUUUCAUUUCUCAGGUAUGUGAGAUCAUUCAGAGUGAGCAUUGCGGAAUUACUCAAAAUGUAUAACAAAUUAUCUAUCUUCUGACUGAUCUCGAUGCAUCUGUACAGCUCCAUAAUAUGAAAAUAAGUUAAUUGUUGUAACACACUACACAUGCUCUAGCUUCUUACAAAUGGAGAGCAUUCCCUGAGCUUCCAAAGAAGAGUAAGGUCGCACAGGUGUGAAAUACCUGAACAUCUGACAUGUUUAUUAAGGAUGUGAAGUUAUCCUGUGUGGAAGUAAAGUCUCCAAAUGUAUGAUGUUUGUCAGGGGCUCUGCAGGCGUUGUUUCCCUAACAAAGAAAGUUUUGCAUGCAUUUCCCAGAGGGAAGGUGAUUCACCAUGCCAGGUUGAAACCCAGCACACUGCAAUGUAAGCAGCUCAUGAGACUUGGUGGCACAGUGUAUGGAAAUCCAGGCAUGACUCACACACUCAAUAUAGGAUUGCGAGGAGGUAUUUGCAGUAAUUGAGCAGAACUUUAGCAUCAUAUCCCCGCUGUUCCGUGCAGAAGUACCAUGCAAGAGUAAUCCUUUCUGAUUCAGCCAAGUGUUCAGGGAUGUGCUUGAUCCCAUACACGCACUUAAACAGGACAGCAGACUGAUUUAACCAAGUAAAUAGGAUUAGGGGUAGGCUUAAUGGUUUUGCAUCACACGCAGACUGUGCUUUAACGAAUUGCUAAAGCAAAGAAUGCCUUUUGUUUUCUGAAUUGAUUUUUCUCAAGCCUGGGGGGCUGAGGAAAGGGAACAAUCCAAUUGCAGAGACAAUCUUGGACAGCAAUGGGAGAUCCCUGCAAUUUUUCUGUAGCCAUCAGUGGACUGGAGUGCUCCAUUGUCUGAACACACAGGCAAGAGCUUCAGCCCAGCUUUGCAAAAGGUGGACUCAGCACGGCUCAGCACCAUCCUGGGAGCGAGAAGAGGGAACAAAUGAGGGAAAUGUUAACACUGUCUAACUGUAGACACAUAAAUUCAGCUCCUGAAUGAAGAGUGUGAUUCACAAUUGCUGUAUACAACUGGAGACAGACAGUCUCCUCCGUAGUGUGACUCAGAAUGACCUCUGGAACUUACAGAUGCUCCAGAGGAGGCUACCUCUAUUAAUUUUACAGCAAAUACAAAUAAAUAUUCAAGGUAUUAUGAAUACUUCUUCCUGAAAAGCUUCAAAUUUGAUGCUCAAAGUCUUGAAAGAAUUUUGACUGCAAUGUUUUUGCUAGAGACUUAAGAUCCAGUGUUUGCAGAGCCCAUUACACUCUUCUUGGUUGUGUUACAAAGCCAGCAAUGUUUCACUGUCUAAACUGUUCAAAGCCCCCUGCAGAGUUAUGGCUAUCUUCUGCAUUAUAAGAGUAGAGUUGGUUUUCCAUUAGAGUAAUAGCAAAAAUACAGAAUUCUUUGGGAAAUUCUUCACCCCCAACUGCUAAAGGGAUAACCAAGCAAGCAAAUCUCCCUUCCUCUUCUGACCCACUCCAAAACAACUUGUGCUAUUAAUACUACUAUGAUGGAAAAUCCAAUCUGAAAUUUAGCUUUAAACUCUGUUUUACCAAAUUAGUGCUGCAGCUUCUUGCUUCUUGCUGUUCCUGCUAAGAAUUGUUACAUUCCAGCAUCAAAGAGACUUUACAUGGAGUUGUACAUGGAUGGAGUUCUUUCAUGUGCACGUGUGUGUAUUUUUCUACAUAAAAAAUGAACUCUGGAUUCUGGGUCAUGAAUGGCACAUUUAACAGGCAUUUCAGAAUGAUGAGAAAGGGAGAGUCAAUGCCAGCUCAAUAAAAAAAGAUCCAUGGGUCAGCAUCACCAGCCUCCAGGUAUAGCCAUGUAAAACAUCACAGCUAUCACAGAGGAAACAUGCAUCGCUAUGCAGUCUUAAGCUCUACUUGUUCUUCAGUGGAAAAGAAUAUGUUUCAUGUGACAAGCAAAAUUAUAUGCAUUGUUCAUUAUUAAUAUACACACAUUUAAUAUUCUACAGCAGUUGAAUACAAUUUUUUUUAUCAUUCCACUCGUGUGAGAUUUGAAGUUAUUUAUGCAAAUUAUAAGAUAUAUGCAGCACGUAAAACAUGAGAAGCGAAGAGAAAUAAGAUGUACUCGGCGAUACAGGUUUUAAAUUUGGAAAGACAAGCCACAUCAACUACAGAAAAUCAUAUAGUAUCUUUGAGAACAAAGGCUGCAGUCCAGAAAAGUACUGGUGUAUCCCAGCACCUGCCCUGAUUUCAUUUAGAGUGAUGGUAACUCUUCCUUGGUUCUUCAGGUUAAGCUGUGCUCAGGUGCUUCACCUGAGCAGCAGUGAAGGAUCCAGGGAUUAGAGCUGUUGUCAAUCCCAGCACUGGCUGACUUUAAGCAGAAUGGGAAACAGACAGACCUUUGCAAAAUCAAUCCUUGAAUCCUGAGAGACAAACAGGCAAAGUUAAACCAACCUGUGUUGCUGAAGGCUGGAGAGCAAGGUAUUCCCUUAAGAAGAUAUUGCUGACUAUCAAAGAGAAGGCACUGGCUGUGGACCACUGGAUUUGUCCAAUAUGACAACUGCUACAAGCAAACAGCCACUUAAGGAAGUCACCCUGAACUAAUGUCAAGUAGAAGUGUGCAAUCUGUCAUUUCAUGGAUUAGGAAAAAGAAAAAAAAAAAAAAAAAAAAGGAGAAAAAACAGCCUCUGGAGAAAUGAAUCCUGUAGAACUGAGAUCAUAAAAAAGCUUCCAGCAUUUAGCCACUUCAAAUUUAUCUGAACCUUUUGAAGACUUCUCUUCCACUGCUCUUUGAACAUAUUUUUCUUACACCCCUGUCUGGGUGUUAAUCAGUCUGGUCACAUCUAACAGCCUAAAAUUUCUUUCAACUUUUCCAUUCUUCCUCCUCCCCCACCCGAGUGUAUGCUGCUUGCUGGGUAAUAUGGAUUGCUGGACUGUUUUCCCUACUGUUAUUUCCCUUUUCUAGAUAAAUCAUCCCGCAUGGAUCUGUAGUUUGCAUUUGCAAAUGAGCACAGAUCAUAUGCAAAUAGCUGUGGAAGAACCUCCUCUGUAGAUGCAAGAGCCUUAAAAUAUGAACACAGUGGGAGUUCAGACAUCUUUGCAGCUUCAUCCAUUUUGCCAAGCUUUGAAAAAUCUGACGUCUUCAUAUUAUGAGUGAGAUAUUUUAUUUAAACAGAUCAUGACAGCAUAAUGCAUUAUGGCAAUGGCAACCUGCAAAUCUGACAUCCAUGACAGCUCAGUGGAGUAACUGGGAGCCGACAAAACACCACGCUGAAAUGGUGGGAACGACAGUUAUGGGUGUCAGUUGCCACCCCUCAUUUAAAAGGAAAAAGGGGGAAAAAUGGAAAAAGAAGGACUGUGCAAAUAACUUCCUCUGAGCUAAAUAACCACUUGCAACUGAUACUUGCAUCAUGAUUAUUUCAUAAACAACUAGCAGAUUGAAUCACUGAUUAAAAACCAAAAGUAAAAUAUUGAUUGAUGGGCAAGAAAGAUUUUACUUGUUUUCAAAUUUAACUUGCGGUGACAGUCGAGAAGGAAGGUGUUGAAACAAAAAGGACAGCAGUUUGCAUAACUUGACUGACAUGACCUUUUGAAUGUUGUUGUGUAAGUGGAAACAAUAUGCUGCAAAUAUUGUUGGGUAUAGUUUUGUGUAUUCCUACUUUCACUCUACUCAAUCCCUCUCCUUCCCUGGGUAAACAGUAAUAAGUAAUUAGUCCUUCAUUCCUUAAAAGAUAUUGUCUUAAGUCUAGGUAAGUUAUAAGUUGUUGCUAUUAUUGUUGUUGUUGUUAAUAUUAUUAAUUUUUGUUAAUAUUCUUAACAUUGUUUAUUACUAUCAUCAUAAUCAUCAUAAUCCUCACCUAUACUAUUGCUGCAGUUGUUACAUAUUCUAUCUAUCUAUCUAUCUAUUCAUAACCAAACUGCAGACUUCAUUAAAGAAAUCCUGCCAUGUACAGGUGUCAUUCAACACUGUUGUUAGACAGGAUUUUGACGCUUAUAAUACUGCAAAAUAAAUGUUUUCCGAGAAUGACCAAUCAUUCAGAUUUCAGAUUAAUGGUAUCUGGCAACUCUCCGCAUUUG